rnacentral:rRNA from 1 species
AUUGAACGCUGGCGGCAGGCCUAACACAUGCAAGUCGAACGGAGUGGCGAACGGGUGAGUAAUGCAUCGGAACGUGCCUGGUAGCGGGGGAUAACUACCCGAAAGGGGCGCUAAUACCGCAUACUAUCUGUCUGGCCGACAUCGGAUUAGAUAGUUGGUGGGGUAACGGCCUACCAAGGCGACGAUCCGUAACUGGUCUGAGAGGAAGACCAGCCACACUGGGACUGAGACACGGCCCAGACUCCGACGGGAGGCAGCAGUGGGGAAUUUUGGACAAUGGGGGAAAGCCUGAUCCAGCCAUGCCGCGUGUACGAAGAAGGUCUUCGGGUUGUAAAGCACUUGAAGCAGGGAGGCGGUACCGACAGAAUAAGCACCGGCUAACUACGUGCCAGCAGCCGCGGUAAUAC